UGUUCCUAUAAAAUAUAAAAAUCAAUCUAAAUUUUCUGAAAUAUAUACAACUUCCACACCAGCUGAGUGCAAAUUGAAAAUGGUCAAGGAAUGGUGAUGUGUUUUUCUGUAUUCCUACUUCAAGAUACACUUCCAGGGAGCCAACUGCUUGGUUUCUAAUGCCAUGUUCUUAGCCAAGUUUCAUAUCAAAACUUGUCAACACUGAAACAAACUAUUUCACCUGUUUUGCACCUUUUAAGUUUACUUCUCUUGUUCAUUUCCCUUUAAAAUCAAAGUCUUAGCAUUCAGAGACGUUAAAUGCUUUCAGAUUCUUCAGCCCCACCCCGUAUCUCCUGCUCAAAACCCUACAUGUGGCUUUGUAUAACGAGGUAAUGGAAACUGCUUUUCUUUGCCUCCUUUCCCAAACCAGAAUCUAUCAAAUCUUUUGUUCCAUGGGAGAACAACCCAGCUUCCUCAACCUAAAAGUAGUGG